rnacentral:lncRNA from 7 species
GUAGUGACCUUGGUUAUAAGAAGCAUUGAACAGCGGAGUAUAAAUGUUCAUUUAGCUGAGGAAUUGGUGCAAGACUGCACUUGCUCUUGUGGAACCUCAAGUUCUCUGCGCAACUCUCCAGCCUGUCCAGGUUUUGCUGAACGGCAGCACAGCCUUCUGGUGUGUCAGACACUCCUAUCAGCUUUGAAUCAUCAGCAAACUUGCUGAGGGUGAACUCUAUCCCUUCACUCAGGUCACCGAUGAACAUGUUGAACAGAACUGGACCCAGAACCAACACCUGGAGAAUACAACUAUUUACAAGCCUCCAUCUAAACUCUAAGCAGCAUUAUGCAUCUCUUCUGGUGUAAAGAACCCUCUUCCUCCUACUUCUUGUGAACAUAAAAAUGCCUUUGCCAGGAUCUGUGGAGCUGGACUGAAGCCUAUGAAUUGCAAUACUGGUAUACUGGCCACUGCUAAUACUCAGUUGCAAAUUUCUUAAAUAUUUUGUUUCAGGCAAAAUACUAUUUUCCUUGCUCGUUGCAGUAGGUCAGGCACCUUUAAAGAAUGAUUGGCAAUGGACAGCGUUGUUUCACGGGCUGGAUCAUCAUGAGCAAUAUAUUGCUGUGAGGGAGAAGGCCUGAUCACAUUUUCUUCUUGCUGUGUCCUCUUGCGUAAUAAGCUAUAUUUAGAAACUGCUUUUCUUAUCUGCUGACUCAUCUGUGUCAAAAAGAAGAACGUUAGUCUCUUUUUUAGACCAAGGAAGCAGUUAUAAUUCUUAUAACACAGGGAACCUCUUAGAAAUGGGAGCAAUUGUCUCUAACUCGGUGCUUGAGUAAGAUGAACAUAUAUCAGUAAAUAAAACAGGUCCUUUAUUG